GCCCUAUUGGACCGUAGAAAAGUUCUCCACCGACUGUCUUCUCCACCAGCUAAAGUUUAGUGAUUUGUAGAGGUUGCAUAUAUGGGCAUUGACUAAAGGGGAAAAAUAUUACUGUACUAAAUUAAAUGUAAUGGAAUUAAAGGAAACUUAGGAAAUACUUCUAUACUAAAAUAUAGCCAAGUCCAGUAACUGUUAUACUAUUAUUAUGGAAUUAGGUUUCAUCAGGACCAACAUAUUACAUGUCUAAGCACUAAUUCAGAGCUUUAUCAGGUAAAUAGGAGUAUUUGUUUCCUCUGCAGUGUAAGAGCAGGGAUUUGCAGUAGAAGAAUCACACUUCAAUAAAUUGAAUAGCUGAAUUGGGGUUGAAUUUGCGGUUUUACCAACUUAUGCACUACCUUGGAAGUAUCUGAAAGUUCUUGAGAAGGGAUUAUUCUGGUUUUGUGGAUAAAUUAUUCUCCACAAUGUGUUCGAUUCCUGAUAAAAGCAUGCUACCUUCAAGAUUUCUGUUCUGUCUAAUAGCCAUUUCUGUUUUCCUUUUGAUAGUUUCUUCACUUACCCUUUUUCAAUUUGCUGACCAUUCUUUUAUGCCCAAAUCAGUUUUUAGUUUAGUUCUUGUUAAUGAUACUUCUGUUUACUUGACCUCAAGUAGUGGGGAAUCUAAAGAUGCUUUCUUGCCUGCUGAAACUUCACAUGAACAAAUACUGAAAACCCAAGAGUUGGCUUAUGAAACUUCCAGUUUCAGCAACGAUUCCGGUGGAUUAGGAAUUGGGAAAUCUUGUGGUCCAGAACAAGCUCUUCUUAGAGUGUAUAUGUAUGACUUACCUCCUGUAUUUCACUUUGGGCUAUUAGGUUGGAAAGGAAGUAAGGAUGAAACAUGGCCUAGUGUUAGUAACCCGAGCCAAAUACCCUCGUACCCUGGGGGCUUAAAUUUACAGCACAGCAUUGAAUAUUGGCUUACUCUUGACCUUCUAUCCUCAAAUACCCCAAAUAUUAAUGGACCUUGCAAUGCUGUCAGAGUAUCAAAUUCAAGUGAAGCAGAUGUAAUCUUUGUGCCCUUCUUUUCGUCGUUGAGUUACAACAGGCAUUCUAAGGUACUAGGGAAGAAGAAAAUCAGUCUCAAUAGAGUGCUGCAGGAUAAACUGGUGGAAUUUUUAAAAGGUAGAGACGAGUGGAAGCAAAGGGGCGGAAAGGAUCAUCUGAUCAUAGCUCACCACCCUAAUAGUAUGUUGGAUGCAAGAGAGAAGCUUGGUUCCGCCAUGUUUGUACUUGCAGAUUUUGGAAGGUAUGGAGCCGAAAUAGCAAACAUUGAAAAGGAUGUGGUUGCUCCUUACAAACAUAUGGUCCAGACAAUAGGUGCUGACAGCUCGCCCUCAUUCAGCCAACGAGAUACAUUAGUUUACUUCCAAGGGGCAAUCUUUAGAAAAGAUGGUGGAGAGAUUCGUCUGGAAUUAUACUACCUUCUCAAAGAUGAAAAAGAUGUACACUUCACAUUUGGAAGUAUCCAAGCGCAUGGUGUUAGGGAUGCUGGAAAAGGAAUGUCCUUGUCCAAAUUCUGCCUGAAUAUUGCUGGAGACACUCCAUCUUCAAAUCGUCUCUUUGAUGCCAUUGCUAGGCACUGUGUUCCGGUAAUAAUUAGCGAUGAUAUUGAGCUUCCAUUCGAAGAUGUUCUUGAUUACUCGGAGUUUUGUGUGUUUGUCCAUUCAUCUGAUGCUGUAAAGAAGGGGUACCUUCUGAACUAUCUUAGAGGAAUGAAGGAAGAUCAGUGGACCAAAAUGUGGGAAAGGCUAAAGGUGGUCAGCAAACAUUUUGAAUAUCAAUAUCCAUCCCAAACUAAUGAUGCAGUGGAUAUGAUUUGGCAGGCAGUUUCAAGGAAGGUGUCACAUAUACAGCUGAAGGAUCACCGUAACAACAGAUUCCACAGGUCACAGCGUUCGUGAUUAUUUAUGUGAAAUUUGAAUCAAUCAUCCUGUACUUCUAGGAGAUCAGAUGCCAGAUUGAGCUGGAUUCUCUAUCUUACGGUCAUCGAAGGUGCAGGUGCUAUAUUGAGCUGUGUUUGCAAGUCCUGCACGACAGCAGCCUUUAGAAUCCGAGAACUUCUCAGAUGAAAUAAGUUGUCUUCUCCCCAUCUGAGUGCAAGAUCUAUACUUCUCAGAGCAGAAACUCUCUCUGGCUGAGUUGACAAGAACCCGAUACAAAGAAUUAAGAACAUCACCCUACAGGAAGGACACAACAUUUUUCUGAACUUGGUUCCAACAGAAGGAACAAAAGUGUUUUCUUGGCCAAGACUAUGAUGAGAAAAUGAGAGAUUUGUCUGUGGCUAUACUCUGCAUAUCCAACACCAAGUGCCUGUACAUAUAAACUUGUGUUUCAUCUUUUAUGGGAUUUGCAAGAAUAAAGUUAACAGUAAAGCAGGGGAGGGUCCCAAGACAAACCAUCUAUAGAAGUUUAAGAUUCACUUCAAUCAUAAGCCUGCCAAAUGCUGCAAGCAAUAUAAGGCUGUUGUACAAGACACUGACAGGUUUGAAUAAAAGUGAAGUUGGAACACCAUUCUUUGGGCCAAGAAUCUAUACAUUUGUUCCCUACAUCCCUUUCAUUCUUUGCCCUUUUGGACCAAAUAAUGACCAGACCAGUGGUCUUUAUUGAACUUUAUUCCAACUCAGCUGCCAGGUCAUCU